GUCACUGGAAUGUGAGGGAGAGUGGC
rnacentral:piRNA from 1 species